rnacentral:rRNA from 1 species
ACGGGGCUUAACCGUUUCCCUUUUCCAAGUCAAUGAAAUUAUUCUCCCCGCGCUGCAAAAGCGGGGAUAUAAAUACAAGACCAGAAGACCCCUUUGGAGCUUAAGAUUAAAAAUCAACUAUGUCAAAUAUUACUAAAUAAAACUAAAUAGUAACUGAUCAUAAUCUUCGGUUGGGGCGACCACAGAAUAAAAACAAACUUCCACAUGGACUGAGGACUAUCUCUUAAACCAAGAAAGACAUUUCUAAGUCACAGAAUUUCUGACCACACAGAUCCGGCCGAUGCCGUCAAGAUCGAGCGAGACCAAGUUACUCUAGGGAUAACAGCGCUAUCUCCUCAUCCAAGAAGUUCAUAUCGACAAGGGGGUUUACGACCUCGAUGUGGGAUCAGGACAUCUAAUGGUGGAGCCUCUAUAAGGGUUCGUUUUGUUCACCAAUUAAGUCCUACGGGAUCUGAG